AUGUCUGCCGUCACAUCAUGCUUGGCGGCGAGGUCCAACAUCUCCUGGGUGUCCUUCAUGCCGCCGAUGCAGCUCCCGGCCAGGGUCUUGUUCACUGGGGAGAUCUCCAUAGGCUUCUCUGGGAGGCCAACCAUGAUCAUCUUGCCGUUGGGUUUCAGUAGCCCCAAGAGAGGAGCCAUGGGGAUGUUUGCAGACACCGUGUUUAUGAUGCCAUCCAUGCAUUUUCGCAUACCUUCAUCUCCUCGGCAUCCUUGCUGA
rnacentral:rRNA from 1 species